AAGAAUGGGUUUUCUUCUCUUCACUUCAACUCUUUCAUGUGUUUGUGGGCCACGCAAAAGCCCAUUAACGGCCCGUUAAAAGUAAAGGCUACUUAUCGUUCCCCUGGUGAUUCUGAGAAGCUUCUGACAUUGUCCAUACCUUUCUUACCCUUUGGGCUAACAUUAACUAAGAUUUUAUGAGACAGCUUCACAUAUGCCACUGCUUCCUUACAUAACCCUAACCAUGCAUCUGAGCUGAGCAGUCAUGGCAAAACAGUAAUUGUUCAUAUCAUGAUUGAACUGAUCAACGAAUUUAACGGUCAGGAUUAGUGUCGAAACCAAAAGACAAGAGUCGGUCUAUUCGUACAAAAGGCAGCCGCUUAAGUCCUUCCCAGACUAAGGCUUUUGCUUGUUCCACCUUUUCUGCCCGCCACCUCUCUUUUUCAUCAAUUCAACAAAAACCAUCAAAUUAUAAUCCAAACCCAUUUUGAUAUAAAUCCAAUCUAAGAUCCUUCACUUGGUUUCUCAUCUAUUAAAAGAUAGAUUUUCCCCUCCCAUCAAAACUCCACAAUUAGUUAUUGUUCUUGUUAAUAUUGCCAAUUUGUUCUAAUGCUUGUGUUUUUCCUUUUUGCUUUUGAAAUCACAAAUCAAUAAACUCCCUUUCAAUCUCUAUCAACAUGGCCACAGGAAAUCCUUUAUACGCAAACCCAAAACUAUGCAAGCAUCUUGCCGAUUACAAGCUCAGACAUGCCUUGAGUUGCUAUAAGUCCCUUCAAAAUUGCCUUAAAACUACUCCAAAUGGAAGAACCAGCAUUUAUAGGAGUGAAACAAAGAUAACUAGAUGCUGUUCUUGUAAUGGGUAUCAAGGUAGAUUCCUUUUGUGUUUGAUUUGCUCGUCAAUCUCAUGUUCAAGCCACGCCCUUUUGCAUGCUCAGUCAGAGAAUGGUCAUGAUGUAGCUGUUGACAUUGAAAGAUCGGAGCUUUAUUGCUGUUUGUGCAGUGAUCAGGUCUAUGAUCCUGAUUUUGAUAAGGUUGUCGUGUCCAAGAUCAUGAUGGACAUGCCAAAUAAUACUCAUGUUGAUGAUGGUAUAAGGAGAUCAAGCAAGAGGAGGAAAUUGAAUUCAUUAAUGGAUUUGGAUUUAAAGAAGUCUAAACACUUGGUUUUGAUGAGGGAUCGAAGGGAAAAAUCGUGUUAUCCAUUGGGAUUGAGAGGAUUGAACAAUUUGGGCAGUACUUGUUUCAUGAAUUCUGUGUUGCAAGCAUUGCUUUAUGCACCCCCUUUCCGGAAUUACUUCUUGAGCGGUAGGCAUGACCGUGAAACCUGUAGGAAAAGAUCAUCAGAUCGGUUAUGUUUGGCGUGCAAUAUUGAUGUUAUUUUCUCAGCUGUGUAUUCUGGGGAUCGAACACCUUACAGCCCAGCUCAGUUUCUUUACAGGUCUGCUAUUGAUACGUAUCCUUUAGUUUCAGUGUAAUUGAUAUGAUUUUUGGAUUGGUUCAUGUCAAAAGAGUUUUGUCUGCUUUAGGCCUCUUGAGACGAUGUAACCUGUCAUUUCUUUAAAAUUCUUUUGUUACCGUAAUGCAUAUGACCUUGCCUGAUUAUUGGAUUCACCUGCCUAUUGGAGAUAUGUUUGAUAACACUGUCAGUUAAGUAUUCAGCAGAAAGUAAGAAGUUUACUGCUUUUAGGGACUUUUCCAUUUUUUUGUGCUAGUGUGCUCGAAACUAUCAUUAUCUAGUGUUGGAAUUGGCUGAUCUUAUUGUUGAAUGUAAUUGGAAAUCCUUUGCAAUAGUGGACUUUGCUGGGAUUGCACCAGUGACAGUGUGCUGCCAGAUCUCUUCAUAGCUCUUCCAUUUAAUUUUCUCACCAGAUUUUUGGAGAUGAACUUAUGCUUUAGUAUUGAAAUUUUGUUUCUAUAUGAAGUUGGUGGCAGCAUUCGGCAAAUCUAGCUAGUUACGAACAGCAGGAUGCUCAUGAAUUCUUCAUUUCGGUGUUAGAUGGUAUCCACGAGAGAGAAGGAAAUGGAAGAAUCCCAACUAAAGGUAAUGCUGUAGGUGCUGAGAUAUAGUGUUCUUUGUACUUUGUGAUCAUGAUUUUUAUUCACUGUUGUGGAUUUCUGAUGGUUCCCUUUUUCACAUGUUGAAUUUGGGUUUAAUAUUUUGUAGUUAUCGUUUGUCAGAGAUAAUUUUGUAUCUCAAAAGUAUUAGGCAUUCAUUCUCAAGAAUUUAGGAAAUAUUACAGCAUAUUUAUAUGAUUUUGACUUUGGGUAUGCGGCAACAGACUUUCAAAUAGGUAUAGAGGGAUAUGUCAUAGACUCAUUGUCAUUGUUGUUGCUCCCAGAUUUAUGAAAUAACUUGAGAAUUGUCCCAAGCAAAUUUCAAACACUUAGCAGUAUCCAGGGCACCUGUGGAUUAUUCAGACAGUGGUGAAUUUUACAUAUUUUCUUCAUUUCUUUGGAAAAUGUGGAUAAUAGUGGACUAAGGGAUUGUUCUGAUUUGUCAGGUUAUUCUGUUGUGCUUACAAUUAGAUCUUCUCUUAUGCAGAUAAUGGAGAUUGUCAGUGUAUUGCUCAUAGGGUUUUCUCAGGUUUGUUGAGAUCAGAUGUCACUUGCAUGGCCUGUGGGUCUACUUCCACUACUUACGAUCCUUGUCUUGACAUUUCACUCAACAUGGAUACAAGUAAUUUUUCUUCAAUAGAUGUGGCUAAUAAGUCUGUUACACCAAAGGAGAAUUCAGGGAUAUGUACUCUUUCGGCCUGUUUGGAUUUGUUUUCAAGGCCAGAGAAGUUGGGAUCAGACCAGAAACUUUACUGCCAAAAUUGUCAAGAAAAACAGGACUCAUUUAAGCAAAUGUCAAUUAGCAGACUGCCAUUGGUGUUGUCUUUGCAUAUCAAACGAUUUGAGCACUCUGUAGUUAGAAGGAUGGCAAGAAAAAUUGAUUGGCAUUUGCAGUUUCCAUUCUCCUUAGAUAUGACCUCAUAUUUGUCAUCCUCAAUUGUCAGAAACAGACUUGGGAAUAGGAUUUUCACCUUUGAAAACAAUGAAGCAGAUACCUCUGCAGAAUUUGAGAUUUUUGCUGUGAUCACUCAUUCAGGGAUGCUGGAAUCAGGACACUACGUGACUUAUCUUCGCCUGAGAAACCAGUGGUACAAAUGUGAUGAUGCAUGGAUUACUGAGGUUGAUGAAGCAACAGUGAGAGCUUCGCAGUGUUAUAUGAUUUUCUAUGUGCAGAAAAUGCUUUACUACAAAGCAAACGACGGUUUGAGUUGCAUGCCAUUGUCCCCUAUGAGGGAUCCAUUUUUCCCCAUUGCUGGUUGUUGCUGAAGGGAGUGCUUCGACUGUUAUUGUGGGCUGGCAAUUGGCAGAAUCAGAAAUUACUGCUAAUUACCUUCAAGUUCAGCUGCAUACAUAUUGAGACAAGGAACAGAAGUUUCUGAUGUGGAGUGUGCUUUCAGAAUCAAAUCACUCAGCCAAGAUGAAAUCACAUUUGACUGCAGCAAUCAAGGUUGAAUAGUGGAAGAAAUCAAAUUGCAACAAAUUAAGUUGUGGAUCCAUUCGAAAGAGAUGAGAUGCCAAGUUCAGUUACCUUCAAAUGUAUUUUAAUGGGGUAUAUGACAAUUAGCUCUGGGAGAGAGUGCCAAAAAGAAGCUACUUCUUUAGAUGGGUCUGUUCCGGCUCUGGUUUUGCAUGAUAUUUUGGUGGGAAUUCUUCGACUGCAGGUCAGUCAUGUACUGUGUUCAUUUCUAUCCAUUAAAUCAAAACUAAUGGAUAAUAUAAUCCACGCUAAUUAGCUCCAGAAGAUUGUGGGCUGUGAUGAUAUUACUGUACAUUUGUUUUUUGUUCAUUAUCCUUGGCAAUAUCAUACUGCAAAUGAUUUUCUUAGCAAUGUUGAAGAUCAACACAAAACUAAUUAAACAAUGCCAGAAAUCAUGACUCUUGAUCACCAUCAACUCUAAGAAGUUGGUUAACUAACCGUUUUCCAUCAUUAACUAAGCAUUUUUAUUUGAAAUAUUACUCUCAUUAAUAAUAAAAAAAAAAUAAAUAAGUUUUAGCUUAGGGAUAUUGAAAUUGUCUUCAAUAUCACAGCAGAUUCAAUUGUAUUAAAUAAAUAAAAAAAUCUUUCAUAAAAACUUGCAAGACGGCACAGCCUGUGAUCUUUGCUCAUCUUUUGUCCUUGUAUUUGAUGGGACAGUCAGUGACCAUAGCCAUUGUAUCGUGUCCCUACUUGCGUGGAACCAGUCAGGUUAAACAACGUUUCAUCGUAUAUCCUUGCAUUUUGAUUCCGAACACAAAGCCUCAAGUAAGUAUCUUAAUUAACCAAUAACAGAAGACAUUUAGGUCAAACUAGUUUAACCAGCCAAUUGAUUCCUCGGUGGGUUGCAAUCAAAUUUUCUUUCUUUUCCUUUUUCCGCUGUUAAAACCCUGCCAAAAUCAUAUAGCCAAAUUUCAAUUCUUGA
rnacentral:misc_RNA from 1 species